CCAGCAUGGAUACUUAAGAGGGUGAGUCUCCCUGGGCUCUGUCCAGGUGACAUAGGGGAGCAUAGCACUCUUCCCCAUGAUGUACAGUUCCUUGGAGAUGUAGCUGGCCUUUGUGACUGUGCCUGCAUAUUUCUACAACUUCUCAAGAGUCUUGUGGACUAUGACUGAAGAGGCAAACUAUGCAGGAAACAAUA
ensembl:snoRNA SNORA73 Small nucleolar RNA SNORA73 family